rnacentral:tRNA from 1 species
UCUAGUGGCCUAAUGGUUAAGGCGCUGGUUUUCGGUACAGAAAAACACCAGAGAUUAGGAGUUCGAAUCUUCUCGUGGUC